AACGUACGCUGGCGGCACGCCUAACACAUGCAAGUCGAACGAAGUAGCAAUACUUAGUGGCAGACGGGUGAGUAACAUGUAGGUAUCUGCCCUUUGGCCUGGAAUAACACGAGGAAACUUGUGCUAAUACCGGAUAAGUCUUUACGGAGAAAGCUUUAUGCACCAUUGGAUGAGCCUGCACUUGAUUAGUUUGUUGGUGGGGUAAUGGCCUACCAAGACUGUGAUCAAUAGCUGAUUUGAGAGGAUGAUCAGCCACAUUGGGACUGAGACACGGCCCAAACUCCUACGGGAGGCAGCAGUGGGGAAUCUUGCACAAUGGAGGAAACUCUGAUGCAGCGAUGCCGCGUGAGUGAAGAAGGCCCUUGGGUUGUAAAGCUCUUUCGUCGGGGAAGAAAAUGACUGUACCCGAAUAAGAAGGUCCGGCUAACUUCGUGCCAGCAGCCGCGGUAAUACGAAGGGACCUAGCGUAGUUCGGAAUUACUGGGCUUAAAGAGUUCGUAGGUGGUUGAAAAAGUUAGUGGUGAAAUCCCAGAGCUUAACUCUGGAACUGCCAUUAAAACUUUUCAGCUAGAGUAUGAUAGAGGAAAGCAGAAUUUCUAGUGUAGAGGUGAAAUUCGUAGAUAUUAGAAAGAAUACCAAUUGCGAAGGCAGCUUUCCGGAUCAUUACUGACACUGAGGAACGAAAGCAUGGGUAGCGAAGAGGAUUAGAUACCCUCGUAGUCCAUGCCGUAAACGAUGUGUGUUAGACGUUGGAAAUUUAUUUUCAGUGUCGCAGGGAAACCGAUAAACACACCGCCUGGGGAGUACGACCGCAAGGUUAAAACUCAAAUGAAUUGACGGGGACCCGCACAAGUAGUGGAGCAUGUGGUUUAAUUCGAAGAUACGCGCAGAACCUUACCAACACUUGACAUGUUCGUCGCGACUCUAAGAGAUUAGAGUUUUCGGUUCGGCCGGACGAAACACAGGUGCUGCAUGGCUGUCGUCAGCUCGUGUCGUGAGAUGUUGGGUUAAGUCCCGCAACGAGCGCAACCCUCACUUUUAGUUGCCAUCAUUAAGUUGGGCACUCUGAAAGAACUGCCAGUGAUAAGCUGGAGGAAGGUGGGGAUGACGUCAAGUCCUCAUGGCCCUUACGUGUUGGGCUACACACGUGCUACAAUGGUAUCUACAACAGGAAGCAAGACUGCGAAGUUAAGCAAAUCCCUAAAAGAUACCUCAGUUCGGAUUGCACUCUGCAACUCGAGUGCAUGAAGCUGGAAUUACUAGUAAUCGUGGAUCAGCGUGCCACGGUGAAUGCGUUCCCGGGUCU
rnacentral:rRNA from 1 species